GGUCGGAGGGGGUGGAGAUGAACUGACUCCAAAGGCAAGAGCAUGGGAGAGCUGGUUCUACCACUCCCCUGCCAUGAGGUAGCCUGGGCCAGGGGGAGAUGCCCCCUGCCUCCCUACCUGAGGCAGUUGGAAGGAGUGACCCUGUGGACAUGAGAGCAGGACCACGAGGAGACUGAAGCAUAUACCUCAGAGUAUCUGCGAGAAGGUUUCAGAGAAAAUUAACUGAGAAAGAAGACCUAAUCUGAGUAAGGGACAAUCCCAAGGGCCGGGGACUUGGAUGAAAUCUGCACAUAAAACAGCUACCACAUUAGCAAUGAGCAGCUCCACCCACCAUGCCUUCCCUUCCCUCUUCAGACUAAGAGCCGAAAUAAAGCCCUCUUUCCCUAA